rnacentral:tRNA from 2 species
GUGAGUGUAGCUCAGUUGGUUAGAGCACCAGAUUGUGGUUCUGGGGGUCGGGGGUUCGAAUCCCCUCACUCACC